GUGGAAGACAGCGUGGGCCACGUCGUAAGUCUUGAGUUGUUUUGACAGUGGUUGUUCUUCAUCAUCAUGUUUUAAUUAUCUGCCCAUGAUUAAUAGAUUGGACUGCACCACAAGUUUGAGUUGCUACUGGUGCAUGAAUCUGUAAUAAUAAAUAACUUCAUGACUUUAUGAUAUGAAUAUAUAAAAAGCUAUAAAUAAUUUUCUACAGCAAGAAUCUGCUCUUCACUUUAUUUGAAGGUAAAGGUGGCAUAAACCUGCAAUCAAUAUAUAAUUGUUAUGGUCAUUUUUGUACCAUGAAGAAUGGAUCAAUAUGUGUGGUUUUAAUAAGACAAAUCUGUUGACAUCUUGACAUAAUGAAGUAUGUCAAAAACCAAAAGUUCAGUAAAACUAC
rnacentral:misc_RNA from 1 species